GGAUACGAUUUCUACUAUUUCAUUCAGAUUAUUCUGAAGUGAGAUUGCCCUUCCCCGAUAGAGGAGGGUGGUUCUUUGGUCAAGGGUAUGGGAGUAGCUGUGUCCCUGCUAGAGCCUCCAAACAAGCUCUCCAUUUGUAGGAGAACGUAGGCCCAUCAAGCUUCCAAGACUCCAGACACAUCCAGUGAGGCGCUGAACGCGACAGUCUGCCUUUCU
rnacentral:snRNA from 1 species